UACAGCUAUAUCACGUUGAAAUACCGGUUCCCGUACGUUCACCGAAGUUAAGCAACAUCGACCCUGGUAAGUACCUAGAUGGGUGACCACUUAGGAAUACCACGUACU